AGGAAACUGGAAUGGGAGGAGCAACCCUGAAGACAUCUGCACUGUGGGGAUAUAGGGAAACUACUGCAGUACAAGCAGAGUUUUGGCAAAUUAAAGCUUGUCAGAAUCACAGCAAACUUCCCGUUGAUCCAGGUCCACUUAUACUUUCACUACGGUUCUGGGCUUUUUUCUGAUGUUCUUCUUUGGAUAUAUGUUUUAAAAAUAGCUCAAGAACUUGAGGUGCUUCACUCUCUGCACAGCCUCAGAGUAGCCAAGAUACUUCUUUCUAUGGCCUUCUUCCUCCUCCCGCCUUGUUUUCGACUUAGCUUGGCAAAGCUGGACAAACUCCGGGACAUAAAAAUUCCCUUAACUGAAGCCUGCCUAACAGAUAAACACACUUCAGCUCUGUUAAGAACCAACAGCCCAACUUUUGCUCCUGGUUAUACAGCUGUAAACCCAGAAUUGCUCUGAUUCAUCAGCUAGCUUUGGUGGCGAUGGAGGAUAAUGCAGUGUCCAACCAGGCUGGCACAAACGUCGCCUGACUCCUGCGGUUCUGUCAGACUCAUGACAUUUCAGGACCUGACUCACAAAUGCUUGACACUAGCAGUACUCAGCUCUGCCUUAUUGCAGCAGUCUAGGAAGUUGCCUGAAAUUUGCAAAAGGAAUACCUGCAUUUGCCUUGUGUACUGCUCCAAGGAUACUUGAUAAUGUGUUCAGUGCUUGGUUUUCUCAAAUUCCCAUGCAUAUUAGAAUUCCAUACCAUUAGUCAUUUUAAGACAAAAUCAGCUUUUUACAGUAGAUUUUGUUUUCACAGUUUAACCCUUUUUACUAUUGGCACACAAGAAUUGUAGUAAAUUUUCCAAUAACAUCCAGAGCUCUAAGGAAAAAGGCCUUCCAAAAGGUAUGUUAUAAAAAUCUGUUAAGCCUCAAAAAAUAUCAAAUCACAAUGACAAUUUCAGAAGUCAUUUCAAUAUCUUUUUUAAGAUCAUAUCUAAAUGCUUGGAUGUUGUUCAGAGAUAGCAGCUGUCUUAAGUACACACUGCCAUUGUUAGCUGAUGAUUUUCCCACAAUGAAGUCAAUAUUUUAGGUCAGUUACUUUUCUCCUUCACCUGGAUAAUUUUGGUGGGGUUCCUCUUCUAUUUUAGUUAUGAUCGUAAGAUAAAAGUAGGGAAGCUGUUCCAUCAGGUUAGAAUAAUCCACUUUUCCAAAGGAACUGAUGACACAAUCUGAAAUUUACCUUAAACAGCCCAAAUUUGAGGUGAUGGGACUUGAGUUUGUUAGAUCUCUUCAACUGCCUAAGACUGGACAUUUACAAAUUAAGGCACAUAACAAGUUAUCAAACUCUCUGAUAAGAAGGAACAAAUGGAAUUUGUGUUUAAUUCAUGGAAGAAACUCCACAAGAUCCCCCAUACUACACACUGGCACUCAACCAGUAGC